GGCUGAGGCAACAUCCAGCCGUGCUGCUGUUGAUGGAGGGGGGGAUUCUUUAUAAGUGCUAAAUAAGAGACUGACAGAACUGGGCCACUGUACAUUACUUGCACACAGGCCACAAAACCUCCACAUGCUGAGAGCAGAAGAUGCUUACUGAUGAGAAAGUGAUAUGGCAGUGCAAUGUGAUCUAUUCAGAUUUAUCCUAACUGGAUGCUCCAUUAUUGAUUCCUUCUGAAACAUAUUCAUGGCUCAAG